rnacentral:rRNA from 1 species
GACGAACGCUGGCGGCGUGCCUAAUACAUGCAAGUAGAACGCACAGUUUAUACCGUAGCUUGCUACACCAUAAACUGUGAGUUGCGAACGGGUGAGUAACGCGUAGGUAACCUGCCUGGUAGCGGGGGAUAACUAUUGGAAACGAUAGCUAAUACCGCAUAAUAUUAAUUAUUGCAUGAUAAUUGAUUGAAAGAUGCAAUUGCAUCACUACCAGAUGGACCUGCGUUGUAUUAGCUAGUAGGUGAGGUAACGGCUCACCUAGGCGACGAUACAUAGCCGACCUGAGAGGGUGAUCGGCCACACUGGGACUGAGACACGGCCCAGACUCCUACGGGAGGCAGCAGUAGGGAAUCUUCGGCAAUGGACGAAAGUCUGACCGAGCAACGCCGCGUGAGUGAAGAAGGUUUUCGGAUCGUAAAGCUCUGUUGUAAGAGAAGAACGGGUGUGAGAGUGGAAAGUUCACACUGUGACGGUAUCUUACCAGAAAGGGGCGGCUAACUACGUG